rnacentral:rRNA from 1 species
UACAGAGGGGGCGAGCGUUGUUCGGAAUUACUGGGCGUAAAGGGCGCGUAGGCGGCCUCUUAAGUCGAACGUGAAAUCCCCCGGGCUCAACCCGGGAACUGCGUCCGAUACUGGGGGGCUUGAAUCCGGGAGAGGGAUGUGGAAUUCCCGGUGUAGCGGUGAAAUGCGUAGAUAUUGGGAGGAACACCAGUGGCGAAGGCGGCUCACUGGACCGGUACUGACGCUGAGGCGCGAAAGCGUGGGGAGCAAACAGG